GACGAACGCUGGCGGCGUGCUUAACACAUGCAAGUCGAGCGGUAAGGCCCUUUCGGGGGUACGACGAGCGGCGAACGGGUGAGUAACACGUGGGUGACCUGCCCUCAGCUCUGGGAGUAAGCCUGGGAAACCGGGUCUAAUACUGGAUAUGACUCCAUGACGCAUGUUGUGGGGUGGAAAGCCUUGUGCGGCUGAGGAUGGGCCCGCGGCCUAUCAGCUUGUUGGU
rnacentral:rRNA from 1 species